rnacentral:tRNA from 1 species
GGGGUUGUGGCUCAGUGGUAGAGCGCUCGCCUAGGAUGUGUGAGGCCCAGAGUUCGAUCCUUAGCACCA